UACGUAGGGUGCGAGCGUUGUCCGGAAUUAUCGGGCGUAAAGAGCUUGUAGGCGGUUUGUCGCGUCUGCUGUGAAAAUCCGGGGCUCAACCCCGGACUUGCAGUGGGUACGGGCAGGCUAGAGUGUUGCAGGGGAGACUGGAAUUCCUGGUGUAGCGGUGAAAUGCGCAGAUAUCAGGAGGAACACCGGUGGCGAAGGCGGGUCUCUGGGCAACAACUGACGCUGAGGAGCGAAAGCGUGGGGAGCGAACAGG
rnacentral:rRNA from 1 species